ACGCGAAGAACCUUACCCAGGCUUGAACAGCGAGUGACCAUCGAUGAAAGUCGACUUCCGCAAGGACACUCGUAGAGGUGCUGCAUGGCUGUCGUCAGCUCGUGUCGUGAGAUGUUGGGUUAAGUCCCGCAACGAGCGCAACCCUUGUUUGCUGUUGCCAUCAGGUUAAGCUGGGCACUCUGCAAAGACUGCCGGUGAUAAACCGGAGGAAGGUGGGGAUGACGUCAAGUCAGCAUGGCCUUUAUGUCUGGGGCUACACACGUGCUACAAUGGCCGAUACAAACCGUCGCGAGCCCGCAAGGGGGAGCUAAUCGGAGAAAGUCGGUCUCAGUUCGGAUCGUCGGCUGCAACUCGCCGGCGUGAAGUUGGAAUCGCUAGUAAUCGCGGAUCAGCACGCCGCGGUGAAUACGUUCCCGGGCCUUGUA
rnacentral:rRNA from 1 species